UUCAUGAUGAUUUUAUUGGUCCGUGUUGCUGAAUUACAGUGAUUAUUAAUUUUAACCAUUUCUGACUUAU